UGCCAGCAGCCGCGGUAAUACGGAGGGGGUUAGCGUAGUUCGGAAUUACUGAGCUUAAAGAGCUCGUAGGUGAUUAAUAAGUUAGAGGUGAAAUCCCAGGGCUCAACCCUGGAACUGCCUUUAAAACUGUUAGUCUUGAGAUCGAGAGAGGUGAGUGGAAUUCCAAGUGUAGAGGUGAAAUUCGUAGAUAUUUGGAGGAACACCAGUGGCGAAGGCGGCUCACUGGCUCGAUACUGACGCUGAGGUACGAAAGUGUGGGGAGCAAACAGGAUUAGAUA
rnacentral:rRNA from 1 species